rfam:Trichoplax adhaerens TRIADscaffold_4 genomic scaffold, whole genome shotgun sequence.
GCCCUUGUAGCCUAAUGGAUAAGGCAUCGGCCUCCUAAGCCGGGGAUUGCGGGUUCGAGUCCCGUCAAGGGUA